UCAUCAUACCCGUGACGUCGCAUGCAGACUGACGCCAGGGUCUUCAGCAAGGAUCAAACCUUUCAAGACCAAAAGCACGGGCCGACACCACUUCUGCUGCCGGCCGCCUCCAGCUGGCGAGCCCCCCGGGGUCUGCGGGACUUGGCCGGCAGAGGGAGGCACGAGCAGUUUGACAGCCCGGCAGGAGCUAACGGGAAGGUGUGCACUGAAUGCUGAGGAUGGUUAGUCCUUUGGAGCAGGUACUCUAAAUAAGAUCCCCGAAAAUACACGUGGUGUGGAUCGGGUCCCCAGCUCCAGCUGCGUCGCUCCAGAAACUGGCUCCUCCUGCACCUUGGUCCUCGCUUAGCCCAGACAGGGCCAGACGCUGCCCAGGCUCACGGAGACACGCUCCUCUCGGCAGGAGCAAUACCAGCCAGGUUCAGAGCCUGAGGAGGCUUACAGGGAAGAAGCUGAGCGGAGCUCGUGUUGUCGUGGCUGAAGAACAAGGGACGGCGGGCGCCCGGCGGAGAUGCUGACGAGCCUUCUCUGCAGGCUGUGCGAUGGUGAAACGUGGCACGUAGCUCGGGAGGAGCGCGCGGGGCGGCUGCGGUGCCCUCGGUGCCUACCGAGGAGCUGCUCGCUGCAGGCCGGUGUGACAGCAGGACGUCCCGCGCUCUGCUCCGGUGCGCCCCAGGCUGUGGUCUACGUGAGGGCUGCCCAGGUCAUCGGUCAUCUGCAUUUGUACGCUUCUAUCGUUAAGCUUCUCCCACGUGCACAGUAGUUUAAUUCUUCUCUACAUGUCUACUGUACCUUUUCUUUUUUUUAGAAGUAUUAAGAAAACUCUAAGCUGUAAAGACUUUUUAAAAAAA